UACGAAGGGGGGCUAGCGUUGCUCGGAAUCACUGGGCGUAAAGCGCACGUAGGCGGAUUGUUAAGUCAGGGGGUGAAAUCCUGGAGCUCAACUCCAGAACUGCCUUCGAUACUGGCGACCUUGAGUCCGGGAGAGGUGAGUGGAACUCCGAGUGUAGAGGUGAAAUUCGUAGAUAUUCGGAAGAACACCAGUGGCGAAGGCGGCUCACUGGCCCGAUACUGACGCUGAUGUGCGAAAGCGUGGGGAGCAAACAGG
rnacentral:rRNA from 1 species